rnacentral:lncRNA from 1 species
CCACGAGUCAACCCAAAAGUUGCUGGGGAGAAGUUGCUCUUUAAUGAAUUGCAUCUCAUGAAUGUAUCAGGCUGUGACCUUUCUGCACUCUCUAAUGAGUUCAUGAAUUUAGGCCAAUUAUGGCCACAAAUGCUGCUGCUGUCACAGAGAGAUGCCGGAUAAAGAACACCCACCACCAGUCUCUGAACAGGGAGGGGAGAAUCAACUCUGAAUGUGAUGUAGUGGCCAGGAGAGAGGACCAUGUUCAACAACGCCACACAGAUGCAAAUGACUUGUUUCUUCAACAAACUGCAAGGGAAAAAAUAAAAAUGGGGGAAGCUACAGAUUAAAAUACAUGUGUUUGGAUAGGAGAGUAUUUAAUGGCAAAAGAAAAAGAAAAAAUUUAAAAAUGAAAUUGUGCAAAACUUAUUUGAAUCCUGUUCAAGUGAGCAACAAAACAUUAUGAUGUACAUGAGACAACUGGAAAUAUAACUCUGACUGGACACUUUGAGAUAUUAAGCAAUUACCGUUCAUUUUUACAUAUCAAACAGUAUGGUAUUGUGGUUACGCUUUUAAAAAGAUUUGUAUUUUAGCGACACAUACUGGAAUUUUUACAGGGAAAACCCACUGAGGAUGCUGGGCAUCAGGUCACUAGCACCGAGUGAAUUUUUUACAAUAAGCAGUAAUUCUCCCCAGCCCCAUGCAUCAUAGCCAAUCCUAAAUGAAUGCCAAUCUGGAAAAGACCAAAAUAAACCACGUGAAGAUGGGAAGAGCUGCUCUUGGUGAUGGGAGAAUGGGGACUCUCUCUUUUAUUGUGCAAACUCCACUUUCCAUCAUGCAGGAAAAUCCGUCUUGAAGGCAGCUCCUCUCUGUGCCGGGGGUGGGUGAUCCAGCCUAAGCUAGAAUGGCGGCAAGCUCAAGGCAGCUGUGGCCCUCAGGAGAGCGUCUGGAGUCCACAGCACAGUGGGAAGCGCAACGGCAGCUAGUCUGAGGGUCUGGACGAUGGCCAUGCACAGAUGAGGACAGAGGAGCCACUGUAGUGACUGAAGCCCACGGCAUCCACCCUCUCCAGCCAGCCCCGCCCACACCUGAAGCCCACAGCGUCCACCCUGUCCACCCAGCCCUGCCCACACCUGUGGCCUUCCUCUCCUUCCUGUUUGGUGAGUGCUGCCUCCACACCUGGCUGCAUGCCAGAAAGGCCUGCACAGGUCAGAACACAGGUUUCCAAACCCUACUCCAAGUCUGAACCUCCAAGGACACCCCGAGCUCCCCAAGGUUCUUGCAUAGAGGGCACAGGCCAGAGACAGCCCAGGUGGGAAGCUUACUCUGAGUCAGCUGCCCUCACCAAGAUACAUCCACAGGCUCCUGUACAAGGAGAGGAGGCAGAAGUCCCUCUCUGCCAGGAGGUCCUCCUCAAUCUCCCAAGCCCACACCACUGCCCUGCUCCAUCUCCCACCACCUCCCCCUGCAGAUACGGGGGCCACCCUACCCACCCCACAGGAACGAUGGGAAAACCUGCCUCCCUCUAGGAGGAGGGCGUGGCACAGCUGCUGCGCGGGUAAGGAACCUCGCUAUGCCUUGCUCCCAUCAACACUUUUAUUCUAGAUUUGAAGGUGUUUUGGGGAAGCCAUCUCUGCACAAAAGAAGUCAACGCAGGAAUAAAUUCCAAGAUACUGAACUACCUCAAACAGAAAAUAAGUUACUAAAAUUAAUCCGCCACAUAAAUUAUAGUUUUUUCCUUUUCCUCAAACAAGGGGAAAAGAACCACCAACUCAUCUAUACGCACAAGCAACUGGCCCUGGUUUACAAUGAUGUAAAGACUUUUAGCCUCCUGCUACCAAAAAGCAAAGGUUUAUUUCAUGAUUUCUUCUUUCUUUUCCAGAGGCAGGCUCUUGCUCUGUCGCCCAGGCUGGAGCGCAGUGGCAGGAUCACGGCUCACUGCAGCCUCAAUCUCCCAGGCUCAGGUGAUCCUCCCACCUCAGCCUCCUGAGUAGCUGGGACUACAGGCACGCACUAGCACGCCCAGCUAAUUUUUGUUUUUUAUCUUAUAUAGAGACAGGGUUUUGCCGUGUUCCCCAGGCUGGUCUCAAACUCCUGGGCGCAAAUGAUCGACCUGCCUCGGCCUCCCCAAGUGUUGGGAUUACAGGUGGGCCACUGUGCCCAAGCUAUUUCACUAUUUCAUCAGCGCACUUAAAUGCCCGUUUUUUUUAAGUGGCUACAGGGCAACAAGACUAUCCCUGUGCCAAAUACCAGAUUCCAAAGAAACUCUACCCACGUCACAAACCUGCACGUGGAUCCCCUGAAUCUAAAAUAAAAGUUGAAAUUAUGAAUAAAUAAAGCCUUGCAAUAAGGGAGGGGAAAAAAAAAGAAAGAAAAUCCACACGAAGGGAAAAAUGCCCAGAGCACAGCCCAGGGAGGUGGUUCCUGAGGCUGGCUGUGGGCACAGCCCAGAGAGCGGUUCCCGGGACUGACUGGGGGCAGAGCCAGCCCGCAGCGCUCCUGACCCCACGGAAUGUUGUGGGCUCAUCUCUGGGCAGGAAGUCAGCACAAGGACAGCAAGACACUGACAGAUCCUAAGAAAGCUUACGAGACAGAAGUUCCUGUUUGGUUCAACUUUGUCACAGACAACACUGAGGGAGAUGAGGUUACACUGUGUACACAGAAACAGGAUUACCAGUCAGUAAGACGGUUACUAUUUAACAGGAAUGAGUCAAACAGAUCAAGGUUUCAGGGCAUGUCUGAAACGCCAGGAAGACCGCCCUGGCUCUGUGCAGCUUUGGGCGGGAGGUGCGCACUCUGGCAUGCCACUGGACGGGGAGGGGAACGGGGCUACAAAAGGCAGCGGACGGCAGCAGGACUAAGCCACCUUAGACAACAAGAGGCUCCGGCUUGAUUGCUAGUUUCGAUCUUAGCCCCAAAAGGGUGAUGUUUUUUAUUUCUUUAUUUAUGAGACGGAGUCUCACUCUGUUGCCCAGGCUGGAGUGCAGUGGCACGAUCGUGGCUCACUGCAACCUCUGCCUCCCGGGUUCAAGCGAUUCUCCUGCCUCAGCCUCCCGAGUAGCUAAGACUACAGGCGCGCACCACCACGCCCAGCUAAUUUUUUAUAUUUUUAGUAGAGACGGGGUUUCACCAUGUUAGCCAGGAUGGUCUCGAUCUCCUGACCUCGUGAUUUGCCCACCUCGACCUCCCAAAGUGCUGGGAUUACAGGCUUCUUUUAUUUUUUAUUUAUUACUACUAUUUUUUAACAGUUGAUCGCUCUGUUCCCCAGGCUGGAGUGCAGUGGGAUCAUCCUAGUUCACUGCAUCAUCCAUCUCUCAUUUCAGCCUCUCGAGUAGCUGGGACUACAGGUGUGUGCCAUCACACCAGGAUGAUUUUUGGCUUUUUUGUAGAUAUGGAGUCUCACCAUGUUGCCCAGUGGCUGGUCUCAAAUUCCUGGCCUCAAACGAUCCUCCUGCCUCAGCCUCCCAAAGCCCUAGGAUUACAGGUGUGAGCUCCCAUGCACAGCCAGGGUGAUGUUUGAGGAUUCUGAGAGAAGUUCCCAGAUCCAAGACAAGGUCUUAGGGCCUCCAUGACUGUGCAGAGAUGAAAGCACCAACUGACAGAAUCUCAGCCAGAGCCCUGAGUGUGAAAACACAGGGCUGGAAACGCCCAGAAGGGAAAGAUAAGGCCCGGUGGAGGAAACGAGCAACUACCUCAAGGUGCCAAGAGAGGCCCCACAGGCACCAGCUGGGUACCUCCCAGCACACAGAAUACAGGGCCAAUUCCUAAGAAACAGAAAAGCCGAGCUGAGUCCAGAGUGCCUGCCUUGCUGAAGGGCCUGCUCUCCACCCAGCUGUGCUCUCCUCCAGCUACUGGGGGCCGGCUGGCCGUCCAUGGAGACGAGGCCAGAACCACCACUGCUCUGUGCUCACGGUUCCCCUUUUCCACACGAGAGCAGCUACAACAACACGGUCACUUCUGUCUGAAUCUUUCCUCCACCAACAAACCUGCACUCGCGUCCCUCCAAACCGGGCUCCAGCACCUCUCACCCCCACAGAGCCCUCUAUGGAGGCCUUUCUCUGACGGGCACCCCAAGCCCAGGCAGAGGCCCAUGCACCACUUGGAGGCCCUUGGACCCAGCCUCUUGACCCAGACAGACUCCAGCAAUCACCCGAGGUUCACCUUCAAGGUCACUUAUAAUGCACACAGCAGCCUUCAGCUUCCCCAAACCUCAUCCCAAGGCUUUAUCUUCUCUCUACCCAGCACUCGGGAGCACUCUUCAGAAUUUCAGCUGCCUUUCUUUACACCUCCAGAGUUUGUGAUUUCUACCCAAUAAGCACCUGAAGGGCAUCGAGAUACCCCCGGCCGGCUAAGACAACCUAGGCCACUUCUCUGGCCCGAGUGGACUUUCAGCAACAUCUCCGAUGGAGUUGUCACAACAUGGUCCGAGGCUAGAAACUACCCUUGGGAACAGGACUCGGAGGCUUUGUGAUGACAAACGUGCACGUGGCCAGCAGGGAGACAGACGGACAGCUAACGGAGGGAGCGCACCGAGGUACAGGGAUGUGCGCGCCCGGAUACUACCUGCAACACAGGCAGGAGGAGCCAGGAGCUGACCACACCGGCUCCACAUCCUGCACGCGGGUGGCUGGGUACGAAUGUGGCCCCCCACACUGUCCAGAAGACGAGUAGGGAGGAUGAACCAGAGCAGGCGCCGAGGAGAACCAGCGACCUCCCACUCUACACCAACACACACUGCCUGGGGCCCCCCCAGGAAGACCUGCUGGCGUGGCAGGGUCUUGCCCAGAGAAAGUUCAAGAUCUGUUUGAGAACGGCCAAGGUAUCCCCACCUCAGUCGUUGAUGAAGAUGACACAAUGCAAACACUCCUCAGAAGUCGCUUUCCAUCUGAAGCACAGAGCCAGGCUCUGCUAGAAAUAAAACUCACACACCUUGUUUGCUCUCUGGGGAUAAGACUUUUGCUGUUCCAAAAUCUGUGAUCUGGAUGUGCAUAUCUUCAUUUAACAAAAUGUUUUCCGGUUUAAGGUCCCUGUAAAAGCAGAUUUUCACAUUUGAGAAGAAAUACUUAAAACAGCAACAUUAUUACGUACUCUAAAUUUUGCUGAAAACAAAAUGAACGAAUGAAUGUAUAUGAUCCUUACAGGCUGACAACCAGGGCUACAGGCCUAAAGCUCACAAGCAACAAGUGUUGGCUGGACACAGUAGGGAUUCACCACCUCACAUCUCCAUGUCAUUCUAAGUCGUUUUUUAACGAAGUAAAAUCUAUCAUUUUUAACGCACAAAAUGAAAGCUAUGCACACUUCUGAGCUGACUUUAUCAGAAAGUCAUGAAAAACGAGACCAGAAAGAAGUACACACAGAAGCUACAACUGAAAAAGAUAAAAAGCAUCAGUCAAGAUGGUGAAAAGAAUCAUUAGCUCGCCAGGAAAGACACGCAACCAUUGCAUGUGGUAUUGGCAGGAGAGCCUCUCCACGUCAGCGCUCCGUGGACGUGUGGCCUCGCCUUGGCACUCAGGCUGUGGCACAGGCAGGCAUCUCAGUCCCACCCAUCCAGGGAGCACUCCAACCUGGCUGACCUCAAGGGCGGGGGCCAUCUGGGCAUCAGCCGUGGCCUGUGAGCCAAACGGUCACUGGCCCUGAUCAUCAAACUGACGUCCUGCAAACCCACCCAGCCACCCCCGCGGUUACCUGUGAAUGAUGCCCUUGCCGUGCAAGUACUCUAAAGCAGACACAAUCUCAGCCGUGUAAAAUCGGGUACAGGUCUCAUCGAAUGAACCGAUUUUGCGAAUAUAUUUAAGUAGUUCUCCAUUUUUGGCAUAACUAAGGCCGAAAUCUGAAUAUCGUGCAGUUAAGGAAGUGUAAAAAUCUCUUGUUUCGUUUUGGAGCAGGUUUACUCCGUUGCCCAGACUGGAGUGCAGGGGCACAAUCAUAGCUCACUGCAGCCUCAACCUCCCUGGCUCAAGCGAUCCUCCCACCUUAACCAACCCAAGUGGCUGGGAACGUAGGUACGCGCUACCACGCCUGGCUCAUGUGUUUUAUUUUGUAAAAGUCAUUUUUGGAAAACUAACCUUAAAAGUCUGAUAAGAAUUUUUAAUUCAGUGCAAACUGAAAGUACCUGUGGCCCAAGACAGUCAUGUCACUGGAUCUGCCGGGCAUCCCAGGCCCCAGCUCCAAGACGAGGCACCAGCAUGAUGAGGGCUUUCUCAUUAAGAACGCCAUUACACGGUCUCGAGGAAACAGGAACAGAGCCUCUCAGCCCCGACUGCCCCUCUGGCCCCUGGCCGUGUCCACGGCCUCAGUGAAAGGGAACCGCUGGUGACAGGGCCUACAGACCCCGACCAAAAAGCGCAUAUAACUCACGUGCAGGCUUCGAUGCACAAAGACCCCGGGGGCCGGCGGAGCAGGGUCGGAGAGCGCGACAGCCCCUGCCCUGAGACCCCGGCUUUAUGUGCUACGCAUCCACGCGUGGCACUGCCCCUUCCAUGCAGUCUCCUUCCGUGGAUAAAGUGACACAUUUUGUUUUGUUUUUUUUUUUUAAGAUGCAGUCUCGCUCUGUCGCCAGGCUGGAGUGCAGUGGCGCUACCUCGGCUCGCUGCAACCUCCGCCUCCCGGAGUCAAGCAAUUCUCCUGCCUCAGCCUCCCGAGUAGCUGGGACUACAAGCACGCGCCACCAUGCCCCCCUAGUUUUGGUAUUUUUAGUAGAGACGGGGUUUCCCCAGGUUGGCCAGGAUAGUCUCCAUCUCUUAUCCUCGUGAUCUGCCCGCCUUGGCCUCCCAAAGUGCCGGGAUUACAGGCGUGAGCCACCGCACCUGGCCGAGUGACACACUUUGUAAGACAAAAGCCAUCUCAUGAACUUCUACACCCAUGAAGUGUGUCUGGGAGGCCCCCUCCUCUGGGCACCACUGCCCUACGAUGGCUCCAUCUGUAGCCUCCUUUUCCAAGAGGACUUAAGACCGACAAUAAAUGGAUCCCAGAUACAGAUUCCCCUGCAAGCGGCAAACGUCCAUCCCCAUUACCGGAAACCUCCAGAUACUUCACACUUACUGGCAGCCCAGGACACGGGGACCCAAAUCCUUGCCUGCCCUGAGCAGUGGCUCUCGAGGCCAGGAAGGGGGGCUCGUGCUCAGAGCCAGGCUGGCCUGCCUGCUCACUUCUGUUUGCCAGGGCACCAUCAUCUCCCACCAAGGAUGAACCUGAAGCUUCAGGGCAACGAAGAGAAACCCAGAAGCGAAGGGACUUGCAACCAAGGCUGCCCAAAGUGGCCCCUGUCCAGGCCCAUCUCUAAAUACAACCCACACCGAGGAUGCCUGGUGGGGCAGAAGUCCCUGGGUCUCGUUCCCGUCAGGGGCGAGUGAACCUUCACAACCUCCCGGGGCUUUGGAAUUUGACUUAAUGAUGAAGGGCAACAUGGACCACUGGACAAAGACCUGGAGUUCCCACUACCUGCACCGCUCUGGCCAAUCCCAUUUGGAAAUCAGUCAGCAAGAUUCACUCUCCUCUGGACUCUGAGCCCCCGGGAGGAGAGGAUGGGAGAGGUCAAGCGUGUGCAAUUCUGUUGCAGCCUCACAACCAACAAGCAGCCGUGUUCCGACGGCUCUGCGGGAAGCCCAGAGGGACUCCCGUGGCUCAUACGGGGGCAGAGACGUGCAGGGCCCCGGGGAACGUGAAGGUGAGAGACAGAACAUACCGUGAAGAAGCCACUGAGAGUGGGAGACAGAGGCAGGAACAGGGAUGACACUGGAGGACAGCAGGCCUGCCUGGAGGCCAGCAUUCUCUACAACCUUCCACAAACCAACAGCAAAGCCCGCUCCGGGCCACGUGCCUGGCAGCUGCUCGGCCACUGCCCCGCUCCUCCCUAGGCAAAAUCCCAGGGAAGCACCUUGCGUCGUUUCCAUUUCCUCACCUCUUACUCUUCCUUGAACAGUCCCCCCAAGAAACUGCCUACCCACCAUCAACAACUGGCACAGGGCAGAUCCACGGGUCAGGCUGUGUGCACCUGACCGCUUCAUAACCCCUGCGUGGGCAGCCAGCACCCUCCAUCAGAAAUCGUUUGAUCCCGUGGCCUCUGGGUCUCCAUCAUUCGAGCUCGGGAGCAACAUCCCAUCACCAUCUCCUCUCCUCGGUGGGCCCCUCCUCGUGUUCACCCCUGCACUGGGGGGAACCCAGGCUCCACUCACAGAGGAGCCAACCUCUGGGCAGCCUGCCAGCUCGCUGUGAAAGUCCUCACGGCCCUGACUCCUCCUGGAGCUCUGCUGGCAGCACCUAAGUGCCCACUCAGACCUGAAUGGUGGCACCAGCGGAUGCAUGAAAUGCCAGCCCAGCACCCGCCCCGGUCUCUCCCAGCUCAGCAGCAGACACCGCUGUGCACUAGGCUUGAGGGCCACCUCCCAGGAGCCGCCCCUGACUCCAUUCUCUUGACCGGUCUGUUCAUCAGACCUCGACCACGGCCCCUGCCCCUGCUCUCCUGCCCGUUCUCCCGCCUGGCCUAGGAGAAGCCACAGCAAACCCCACGUUCCCCGCCACAAAGAGAAGGAAGUCCAGAGUCAGUGCCAGGCUGCCACGGCUCAGGGGCCCAGCCCACCACAGCCUUUCAUGCCCCCCCACACACUCCUGCCCAGGAGCUGAAAGAGCCCCACACUGCCGCCAGCCCCUACCCAGCCCUAAGACUCUUGGCAGCGCAUCUUGCUGCCGGGAAGCCUCUGACACGGAUCGUCAGUGCACGUCCAGCUCCUCCACCAAAAUCGAAGCUUCUCGUGGGCAGAGACGCCACCCGGCAUAGCAGCGCAUCCCCAUCACCCAUCAACCUGCACUUGGCAAGCACCUCCAAACAGAGAGAGCACACACACUCCGCCGGCAGCCGAAGGAGCUGCAGGAUGGUGCUGAGAGUGGGAGCAGGCCAGAACGAAGCUCUAACACAGAAGAGCCGGGUGCUGGGGAGAGACGGGGAGGACAGGUGGGAGGACUCAGGCCCCUCCCCAGGCAGGAUGGGGAGGCCACGACACUUGGGCCAGCUUGGAGGGUGGCGGGGGAGGAGAAGAGCAGAUGCAGACUGCACCUGCUGGGGGUGACGACGGUGUGGCGUGGCCAGCCCAGCCACUGGCAGGCCCACAGGUCAGCUGGAUGGGGCAGAGGUGGGGCCCACCCCAACUUCCACCGGGCCUUGCCUCCCAGAUUCCUGAGCCAAGGUUUAAUAACAGAAAAGAUGGCGCUCUAGGGGAGCAAGGGACGCCGACCAAGCAAGCCGCAGCAGAGAGGACUGUGCUGGAGCCACAUCGGUGGCUUCUCCGGGAGGUAACGUCCUGUGCAGACUCCCAGCCACACCCUGGCGCUGCCUCGGCUGCCUCCCUGAAUGUCAGCGGCCUGAGGGACCCCACUCGGCAGGGAGCGGGGGCUGCUUGUGGGAACACACAGGGUCUGAUUCCAAGUGAGAGGGGUGACUGGUGUGGCUUCAGACGGCACCAACCACGCAAAGGAUACACAGCUUCUCGUCGUCCUGAAAUGUGAAGUAAAGCUUAACAAAGAAGGGGUGAUCCAGGCGCGACAUGACAUCCCGCUCUCUGGUUACAUAGGGGACCUUGUUCUCUUUUAUGAUAUGUCGCUUCUCCAGAAUUUUAACUUCAGGUGAGAGAGAAGUGAGUUACUAUCAGAAACAACAAAAAACACUAAAGACAUGACUCACAAAGGUAACUGGUACAAAUUAAAGUCUUUCAAACAUUGUACACAACAGCCUGGUGGUCUCUAAAGCCAACAGUGUCCUGUACCCUGAAAUCAGCACAGAAACACCGGCCCUGCCACCCCAGCCGCCCUGCACGGAGCCGCUUGCCCUGCUCCCGGACGCACAGCUCCCUGCAGCCCAUACUCACUCGCAUAUUCUCUGGAGGUUGCCAGUUCUCGAGCCAGGACAACCUGGUUGGGAAAGAAAAGGAGAAAAAGAAACACACAAUGUAAUAACCAGGACACUGGGCCUGACGAGUCCCUCUGCCCCACACGCACGCUUCCUGUCCCCACUGAAGGCUUGAGUCUACAGUGAAAUAUUUUGGGUCUUGUACUGACAAGUAGAGCUAAAAGCCAAUGCUCGUGUUGAUGUGUUCUAACAGCUAAGAGAAAACAUAUCCAUCUCUCUGUUGUUUCCAGAAGCUUCUGGAUCAGCUGCUAACAGCCCUAACGGUGCAACACAAGUACAAACUCAGGAACCUCUUCGACUGCCACGCCCUUCACCAACAGAAGGAAGACAGUGGCGCCACCACAAGUGGCAGGGCACAGGGGCUUCUGUGACAACAAUAUGUCCUUCUAGUAUACAUUCAUUGCAAAGGCUGCCCUGAAGUUUCGUUUUUGGAAAUAACUGUUAUCAUACAUUUUGUAUGAUGUUGCUUGUGGGCACCAUGAAGAGAGCCUGGCUGUAAAGGACAGAGGGAGCUAAACCAGCAAUGCAUGGCCCUGCGUGCCCACAAGAGGGAGCCACCUGCCCGGGAUGCAGCAGGCCUCCUGCCCUGUCCUCUCAGCACCCCUGAGCCCUGCACUCAAACCCCACCUCCGAGACAGAGCACUCCAGCAGGGCAGGCAUCCCAAACAGGGGAGAGACCCUCCACUCGGACUAGCCUGGGGCACACCCUGAGGCACCAGACUGGAGAUUCCUGGUGGGCCCACGGUUUAGCCAGAGAGCAUGAGGCAGCUGUGCCAGGGAGGCCCCACCACCACCAAGUGGGACACAAGUGUCUCCUAAGACACCCACAGGGGGACGGCCUGAGGAGCAGGGAGCAGAGGAAACCUGUCCCGUGACAUUCCUGGGGGCUGGCAGGAAGACCUUCAGGAGGCCACAGGGCCAGGUCCACCUGGCCCCGGGCUGUGAGCCGCAAUCGGGGCAGGACUCCUGAUGGGACACGUCAGAAGAGAUCCUGGAAAGCACCAUGUGAGACGCCUUGUGGCACUCAAGAAGAAUGAAGUUGGAUUCUGGGGACUCUACAUACUCAAGGUCUUCCCAGAGGAAUACGCCACGCAUGGAUGGCUCUCAGCUGCCAGGGAGAAAGGGGAAGUGGGCCGGGCAGGGCUCCCCUCUCUAGCUCAUGUGUUUCUGUGAGGUCACGUUUCUCCACAAGAGCACGUGCUAGCUUCAUAAGUAGAAAAGAGGAAGAAAGAAUUGUGAACGAGCACCGAUAUUUAGUGGAACCCUUUCUAAGGGGAUACUGAUGUGAUCUUUCCGUUGUCUAAACUCAACACUUCACAAGCAGGUUUCCUACAAGAAGGAAGGAUCCUCUUCCAGAGAAUGGCGCGUGACGUGUCCCUCCCUGGAGGUUGUGACCGUCCUCAGGGGGCCUCCCGGCUCUCCGGUGCUGCAGCUGGCUCUUGCCCAGCCUCCUAUCACUGUCCUUUCCCCCUCCCCUGGAAAUCAACUUUUAUGUGAUCUCCAUUUCAGGAAAGCUGAGAAAGAACUGAGGGUAACACAUGUAAUCUGAGACCCAGUACUGUGGAUUCCAAACAGCCCCAUGGAGGAGCCUCCGGCUCACCGUGCUCUCCCGGGCACCUCCCUGGUGCAGGUUCAGAAAGACACGGACCACAGCCCCUGGAGGGACAGUGCCUGCUCUCCACCCAUCUCCAGAACCCAGGGAAACAGGCAAUUUCACAGAUGAGUCUUCCUUUUUCAGUCAAGAUAAAUGUUAAGGGCCAUGUAUGGUGGCACAUGCCUGUGGUCCCAGCUACUCAGGAGGCUAAGGCAGGAGGAUCGCUUAAGCCCAGGUGGUGAAGGCUGCAGUGAGCUAUGAUCACACCGCUGCACUCCAGCCUAGGUGACAGAGCAAGACUCUGUUUCUAAAAGGAUAAAUACAUACAUAAUAAAAUAAAGUUAAAUUAAAAAGAGACAUACAAGGAAGUAAAACUGAGGCCAAGCACAGUGGCUCACGCCUGUAAUCCCAACACUUUGCAAGGCUGAGGAGAGAAUCACUCGAGCCUAGGAGUUCAAGACCAGUCUGGGCAACAAAGUGAGACCCUGUCUCUACAAAAAAUUUUACAAUUAGCUGGGCACGGUGGUGCAUUCCUGUAACUGCAGCUACUUGGGAGGCUGAGGUAAGAGGAUCACUUGAGCCCAGGAAGUCGAGGCUGCAGUGAGCUAUGAUCAUGCCACUGCACUCAAGCCUGGGUGACAGAGCAAGACUCUGUCUCAAAAAACAGGUAAAGCUGAGAAAAGAGGAGGCCUGUUCUUUCACUGGGUGGUUGUAAGCAGCCAUGCAGAAUGCCCAAGGUUUUCCAAAGAGUUUCUUCUUUCUGAAAGGAUCUGAGUCCCCAAAACUUUGGGGACUAGUCUCAUGGUUGAAGGCAUUUUUCAUGAGGGCAUAAUCCUUUUAUAAAAAAAUUAUUUCAUAAAACCUGCAAUUUAAAAAAUCUAAAGUGUAAGGGCAGCAAAAGUUAACAUUAAUUAAAACAAUAUGUUGGGAAUAUGGGUAAGCUAUAUUUCAUGUUUUUCUUUGCAUUGUGAAAUAUUUCCUAUGUGUAAAAAAGAGAAAAAAGGAAAAUAAACCUCACCUACGGUUUCUUCACAAAGGUCAGGCAAGAAAGAAUUAUUCAGGAACUCACCCAGGCCCUCCAGAGUGAGGUGCCCCCAGGGCUCCCUGGAAUGGCCCUAGCACGCACACGGCGGCCACCUUGGCGACCACAGUGGCGGCACGGGACUCUGUCUCUUUAGAGGCCCAGAUGGAGACAGUACACCCCGAGUUGCUCAGGCCUCCCCUGAACCUGUUACAACCUUCACUAAAUCCACAACCACACACGGCUUCAUGGGUCCCACGUCAGCAAAACGUCCCAUGUCAGCUGCUUUCGACCUUCAUUUCUUUGCUUUCAGAGGAAAAAACACCCCGAAGACAGGUAACAAGUGUGACUUGACAGUACUGCGACAAUACUCCUGUUUGUGAAACUCGGAACACAAGACUCUGGAGGCUGUGUCUCCAGCAAAUGUCCAGAGCGUACUGUUUUAUGUAUUCAAAAAAACAAAACAGAGAAAUAAGAAGAGGUCAAUAAAUGUCCCCAAAAACCCUGGAGAGAUACUAACUUUCAAUCUAAGAAAAAGAACAGCUUCCCAGGGCCCUGCCAGUGAGACACAAGGACACAGAAUGUAACUUGCUGAUGCCAGGUUAAAAUGAAAUUAACUACAUCAGAAAAAACCUCCGCAGACCAUCAAGAGAUGUGUCUAACGUUCUCAUCUACAAAACCAGGUUAAAUAUUUAGCCACACUCAUCACGUCAUCUGCUUGGGGGGUACCCAGCCCCCAAAGACUCAAGUGGCCUUCACAACAGGUGACACCCCUCAAGGGGCCUGAGACCUCCUGCCUGGAAGGACACCAGCCUUGCUUGGAGUCUCCGGCAAG